CCUUGUGUUAUUUGUUGUGUUGUGGUGGACGUAAAUCUUGUUUAUUUAAUAUAGUUAAUAGUUAGCAUAACAAUAGAAAGCUGGAAGAUUGUCAUACAAGUGUUCUGCACAAGUUCGCAAAUUUAUUUAGUUUCAAAAUGGCCCAGUUAAAGGAAUUAAAGGCCAAUCGGGGAUAUGUAAAAGGGGCGAUUAGUAGGUUAGAAACAUUUUGUACUUCAAAUGAAUUCGCGACAGCGACACUUGAAGUGCUUGCUCAAAAAAAAGAAAGGGUGAUUAAAGCAUUUAAUGAUUACGAAGCGUACAAUAGAGCAAUCCUUGCUAUUGAGCCUGAGGAUGGUGAGUCGUAUGAAUUGUACGAAUCUAAAUGCGAUUUGUGUAUCGCCACGUUAAAUACGCGAUUACAUCCUGCAGUAUCACCUGCGGCACAGACUGCUGCAUCGACAUCUUCCGGACUAGAAGCAGGUAAAUUUAAAAAACUUCCUUGUAUUAAUAUUAAAACUUUUGAUGGCCAGAGUGUGAUGGACUAUCACCCAUUUAUAAAUAUGUUCAAAGCUGUCAUUGAUAUGGAUGCAAAAUUGAGCUCCUGCGAAAAACUGUACUAUUUACGGUCGUUUUUGGCAGGAGGAGCUUUAGAUUUGAUAAAGCAUUUAAUGCUUACAAAUGGAAAUUAUGAGGUAGCCUUAAAACUCAUUGACGAUAGGUACAACAACAUUCCAAAAAUUAUAAAUUUUCAUGUCAAUAGUAUCAUUGACAUGCCAGUUUUGACAAAAUGUACAGCUUCUGGGCUGCGUUCCAUAGUGUCAACUGUAAAUAUGCAUCUUGCAGCAUUAAAAAACUUGAAUGAAAAAGUUGAGUUCUGGGAUACUAUAUUGGUCAAUAUUUUGUCUAGGAAGAUUGAUUCCUACACUUAUCGUGGAUUUCAUCUUGAGCGUGAUAUGAAAGAGGUUCCUAACUUGUGUGAAUUGCUUACUUUCCUAGAAAAAAGAGCAAUUGCGUUGGAAGCCACAAUGACGGAAGAGCCGAAGAAGCCGGUGAAAUCUGUUGUGAGUGCAGCGGCUGCCACUGGAGUCUCAUGCGUUCCAGUAUGUGUGCCGGCAGCUGACACCUGUGGGUCCAUAUUUGGUGAAGACGAGGUUCGGUCAUAUUGUAGGUGGGGCGCUGCCCUUCCCUGCUGGCAAGAAGUCUAUAAGUAACUAUUGUGUUACAUCUAAAGGUAAUCCUGUUGAUUUUAAUGUAGCUAGGGAUGAUUUGCAACCACCUUUCCCAUGUGUUAAACAAAGUGAGGUUUGCUUGCUGUCAAACGAUUGUCAACCUUCUGAAGACAUUGUUGAUAUAAUGUCCAAAUUUUGGGAUUGUGAAAAAGUUCCGGACAUCAUUAGGGAAACCGGUACAGAGGUUGAGCAGGCGGAACAGAUUUUUCAGGAGUCAGUUAAAUUAGAAAAUGACAAGUUUACUGUAGCCAUGCCGGUGAAGGUUGAGUUGGACAACUUUGACUUAGGUGAUUCUUUUAGUAGUGCCUUGCAACGACUUUUCAAUUUAGAAAAGCGGUUUUCACGCGAUCUGGAGUUGGGUAAAAAGUAUAAAAAAUUCAUACAGGAUUACAUUGACCAAGGUCAUGCUAAAUAUUUCGACAUGUCUAAUUAUGACUUAAGUGCAGGUAAUGUCCUGUUUCUGCCCCACCACCCUGUGAUCAGUUCCAGUAAAACAACACCAGUUAGGGCUGUUUUUGACGCUGGUGCUGUCACAAAAAAUGGUAUAUGUUUAAAUGACAUUUUGUUAAAUGGUCCGGUGGUUCAAAAGGAUCUCUUUGAAAUUCUGAUUUUGUUCAGAACUUUCAAGUAUGUAUUAUUGUGUGAUAUAAAGGCUAUGUAUCGCCAAAUUUUGAUUGAGGAUAAGUAUCGUUGUUUGCAAAAUAUCUUGUGGCGCGAUUCUCCUGACGAGUCAGUCAAAUGUGUACAGUUGCAGACAGUUACAUAUGGUUUAAAGAAUUCUGCGUUCUUAGCAUGUAGGUGUUUGUUAGAAUUAGCCCGAAGGUAUGAAAGUCAAUAUCCCUUGGCUUCGUUCGUGUUGAAGCACACGUGUUAUGUUGAUGAUAUCCAGUGUGGUUCUAAUGAUUUGAAUGAGCUUGCGCAGAUGAAAAAGGAGUUGAUAGGGCUAAUGAAGUUGGCUAGUCUGUCUCUACACAAAUGGUGUUCUAAUAACCAAGAAAUUUUAAGCGACAUACCGGUUGAAUUGCAUCAACUCGAUAGUAGGAGCUUUGAUAAAAAUAAUGAAUAUGUUAAAACUCUUGGAUUGACAUAUGACGUCAUUACUGAUACUCUCGACAUGAAGUGUCCUGUUAAAGAGGUUCAAGAAAAGUACACGAAGCGUCAGAUGCUUAGCUUCAUAAGUAAAUUUUUUGAUCCUUUAGGAUUAUGUGGCCCUGUGUUAGUGCAGGCAAAGAUAUUAAUGCAACAGGUUUGGUUUGAAUCGUUGAAAUGGGAUGAGGUUUUACCUCAAGGUCUUAACAAAAAAUGGGUUGACUUUGCCAAUAGCUUAGUUCAAAUGUCCAGCAUCUCGAUCGCUAGGAAUAUCAAUAUUCAAGGAGCGCAAUCCUUAGAAUUAGUGGGAUUUUCUGAUGCUUCUAAUGCUGCUCAUGGAUGUUGUUUGUACUUACGUGUCAUUGAUGCUGACAACAAGGUUUCGGUGAAUCUUUUGUGCUCGAAGACGCGCAUCAAUCCUAAGGCUAAAUCCUUGACCAUCCCAAAAUUGGAACUGAAUGCUGCCCUGUUACUUGCUAUUCUAGUUCGGAAGGUGUACAAUGCUCUGUCCUUAAAAUACUCAGUGAGCGCUCACCUUUAUAGUGACUCCAUGAUUUUACUAGCUUGGUUAAAAACAUUACCAGUAAAACUUAACGUGUAUGUAGGUAACAGAGUUGAUAAGAUUAAUAAGCUAUCCUCCGACUUUGAAUGGCAUUAUGUAAAUACGCAUGAUAAUGCCGCAGAUAUAUUAUCUCGUGGUGUAGAGCCCCAAUUAUUGGAAAAAUGUGACAUUUGGUGGCAUGGGCCAAAGUUUUUGUCUGACCCUACUUACCAUCAUAAACCUGUAGAACAUGACAUUUUAAAAUCUGAUGUACCAGAGCUAAAACCUACAACUGAAACCUGUCAUACUUGUGUAGAUGUAAGUUCUAGCUCGAUGGAUGCUUUAAUACAUAAAUAUUCAAAUAUAAACAAAUUGACAAGGAUUGUAGGUUAUCUCCUUAGAUUUGUAUUUAACUGCAAAAAUGAAAAUAUUAACAAACGUCAGGGAUAUUUAUCUCCCCAAGAAUUAGACUCUGCGUUGCGCAUGAUAAUUAAAUGUGAGCAAAGAAAGUUCUUUUGUAAUGAUAUUGAAGACUUAAAUAAUAAGUUGCCAUUAAAGUCUGGCUUAAACAGUUUGCAUCCUUUUCUUGAUUCUGAGGGAUUGUUACGUGUAGGUGGUAGAUUGCAAAAUGCAGGAUUUUCCUAUGACCAAAAGCACCCGAUUAUAUUGCCCAAAGGUUCUCAUGUCACAAAAAUAAUAAUUCAUAAUGAACACUUGAGGUUAAAACAUGCUGGUGCUACUUUGUUAUUGAGUACCUUAAAUGAAAAAUAUUGGAUUUUGAAUGCCAACAGAGAACUAAAGUCCGUUUUGUAUAAAUGUAUAAAAUGUUUUCGACUUAAGGCAAAAAAUGCUACUCAAUUAAUGGGUUCUCUACCACUUGAUCGUGUAAAUAUGACUCGUCCAUUUCAAAUAGUGGGCACGGACUAUGCCGGUCCUUUUUAUGUAAAGCAGACUAGAAUUAGGAAACCUGUGAUCACAAAGGCUUAUGUUGUGAUUUUUGUAUGCUUUGUUACAAAAGCCAUUCACAUUGAAUUGGCAUCUGAUAUGACAACUGAUACUUUUUUAGGUUGUCUUAAAAGAUUUAUAUCUCGUAGAAACAAACCUACUAAAAUAUAUUGUGACAAUGCAGCCUAUUAUAAGGGCGCGGAGAAUGUUCUUAAGGAAUUGUAUGACCUUCAAAAUUCCGCUAAUCACCAAUCAGCUGUGGUUGACUUUUCUAGUUCUGAAAGAAUAUCCUUUCAUUUCAUUCCUUCUUAUUCCCCAGUGUUUGGUGGUUUGUGGGAAGCUGGUAUUAAAAGUGUUAAAUAUCACAUGAAACGUGUAAUUGGUAAUACGGUGUUUACCUAUGAGCAAAUGUACACGAUUUUGGUUCAAUUCGAAGCCAUUUUGAAUUCUAGGCCGUUGACCCCUAUGUCUAGGGAUCCUAGUGAUAUGACCUAUUUAACUCCUGGACAUUUUCUCACUGGUAGUUCACUGACUUCUUAUCCAGAAACGGAUAUUACAGAUGUAAAUAUAGGUAGAUUAAGUUUUUGGAAACAAUGUGUUCAAUUGCAGCAACAUUUUUGGCGGCAAUGGCAUAAGCAAUACUUGGUUAUGCUGCAGAGUAGGCCAAAGUGGAGAAAUGAGUCUCCCAACCUAGAAAUAGGCACUUUAGUUUUGUUGAGGGAAGAUAAUACCUCUCCGUUGUGUUGGCCAGUAGGUCGAAUUGUUGAUGUUAAACCUGGUAAAGAUGGUAAGGUUCGAGCCUUGCAUGUAAAAACAGCAAAAGGUUCCAUUGUUAAAACGAGUGUUACCAAGGUGUGUCCCUUACCAAUAGAUUACAGUUAGGUAAACUGUUUUAUUCAUUUGUUUAUAAUUUAGCGAUAAUGCUGAGGUUAGUUAAGGUUUAAUUUUUGUUGAUUUUUAACAUUGUAAGUGUUGUUUUUUGGCUAGGCCCCCAACAUGUUCAUAACCGAACACAAGUUAUAUUUAUAUUAAAACUCUUUAGGUUUUUUUACUGUACUCUUGUCUAUGAUAGGAAACAAUGGAAUAGAAACAAGGAGAAGAGAUUGAGUUGUCAUGAUAUAAAAAUGUAAGUUUUGGUGGAGCUGAAAUAAAUUUAUUUUAAUACAAGUUGCA